rnacentral:lncRNA from 1 species
CCGGAGUCUACGAAGCGUGAAUCUGGCUUGAGCAUCUUGGUCCUGGGUCGUUUGCUCGCUGAACCUUCCUAGAACGGGAGUGGAGUGAGGAAUCCAGGCACCUUGUUGAGGGCAUUGGAAAGGUUUUGACAAGGCAGAGGUACCUGCAACGUUCCGGGAUUCAGUCCACCAGGAAACCCAGUCACAUCAUUUGGAUCAGAAAGGAAAUUAACAAAUUUCUUCACCUGUGAUAUAAAGGCAUUGGAAUAUAUGACCCCUAAGGACUCUUCCAGUUUUCAGGGAGAAUUUAUUAUACUGGGGAAAAUAUGGCGCUUGAGGUGGGGUGAUAAAACAUAUAUCAGAUAAAUAUUCACAAAAGCCCUGCUACAUGAUAAUGAGGACCAGUCUAACUCUCCCAGAGCAGAACAUGUUGACUCUUGAGGUAAUGAGUUCUUGUUUAUCAUAAAUCCUUAAGCAGAAUUUGGAUAGUUACUUAUUAGUUGUAUUUUAGAGGAGACUGCUUUUGUGCUGUUGAUUGAGCUAAUAAUAAUUACUUUUGAGGUACUUUGUUCUUUUAUAUUCUAUGAUGAAUUGAAAUGCUAUAAAUUAUAUAUACUUGUUAAUAUUUUAGUAUUUCCAUGACAUUUGAUUUCAUUGCUCUGGGUACUUUCUUUAAUGGGAUACAUCUCAUCUUUUUUCUGACUUGCUAAUAAAUCGUCAGGAACUAUUUAGCUGAAAAAUACUUCAACCUGGGGUCUACUAUUUAAGUAGACUGACACAGGCAACAAUUGGUGCUUCAGGAAUAUAAGGUGCACUAGACACCAUUGUGGGAAGAAUUAGAAUAAGAU